GGAAGACGAGGCAGCAGGAGCAGAGAAGAUAGUGUCGGAGAAUACAAAAACAAAAGGAAAAUAAAGAAAAGGGUUAAAGUGAAUGAGGAGAAGAAAUAGAGUUAGCAAAGACACAAAGCAGAAACAAAGCUUACGUUUUCAGCAUACACACAGAAGACGACAACAAGCACAAAAAAACAAAAAAACAAAAUAUCCCACUGCUCCGCUACACCUCCGGAUGCUAUUUUAAUUGAAGGGGAUUCGAUGGCUGUCAGAACAACUGCGAAAUCAAAAUUCUUUCCUUCUCACAGUCUUCUUUUAACUGUCCUUCAAGGCCAUGAACUGCUGUGCUUUCUUAAACAACAGAUCUGGGAGGACUCACGGAAGUGCAUAUCUUGUCAUAUCUUGUUUGAUGCUUGUCGAUAGCUAUAGUACAUCACUAACCCUGAAAAGGCAUAAAGACAUGAGCCUGUCAGACUGAGAGAAAGGUGAUCAAUGGUUUAGUUAUAGAGAGAGACAUUGGCACAUUGCCUUGCUGUUUUUGAAAAGAGAGUGACGCAAAAGGAGUUAAACAAUGAGUUUCGUUUUGUUAUUCAUGCUUUGAGAGAAUCACAGAGUCUCCUGAAGGCGAAGUUCAGGUGCAUGGUUGAUGACUAUGAAGAUGGAAGACUGAAAACAGAUAUUUAAAUCGUUACUACUGACUGACACCCUACCUAUCUGCCUGAGAUCAUACCGGUCUUCUUUCCUGCAUUUAUCUGUUUUACACACAGUAAUGAACGUACCAAAAAUGUAUCCACCAUGUUAUGUUAAACUAAUGAGAUUCUGUUGUUUAAAAGCCUAGAGUCUUGCCUGCUCUGUUUCAGGAGGACCCCGGUGGCCGUUUGAAGUUGAGCCCAUUACAACACCUAAGAUUAAGGCUGUAGGGAAGAUCAUCCCAUGCGGUGUUCACGUUGGAGGGACAGUUGAUCACAGAGGAGAGCGAGGACAUCUCAACAGCACUGGGACCCCUCCUGUGUUUAUGUUCUGAAAUGCAGUGUCCUAAAGCAGUGGUUCUCAACUCUACUCAUGAGCUCUAUGUGACUGACUGUGUCCCUACACAGAACAUUCAAUCACAAAUUUACACUACUUCCUGUCUUGGUAAGUCAACAUUGUCUAUUUCUGGCCCUCUAUCAGGUCUAGUUGUGGUUUCUAUCAUUUUUUUGUAAAUCCUGAUGGCCUUACAAAAAAUGCUAAUACGCUGUUGAAAGUAAAAGAAGGAAAGACACUGCCGUACUUUACAAGUGGUUGUGUGCUAUUCUUUUUCAGUAGUUUAACUCAAAAAGUAGUCAAAAUAGUUGAAACUUGAUUACAGUGCAUAAAAGAUUACAUAAUUCAAGCUUUUAUCAUUACUUUGUAAAACAACAAUUAAUCCUAAAAUUGUGAUGCUGUAUGUUUAUUCCCUGGCUUGUAGACACAUUUUAUCGGCAUCUGAAAUAAAUAAUUUAAAAGGUU